rnacentral:rRNA from 1 species
GACGAACCGAGCGAACGUUGUUCGGAAUCACUGGGCGUAAAGGGCGCGUAGGCGGCCCGCCGCGUCCGGGGUGAAAGCCCCCCGCUCAACGGGGGAACGGCCUCGGGUACGGGCGGGCUGGAGGUGGGGAGGGGCGUGCGGAACACCGGGUGGAGCGGUGAAAUGCGUUGAGAUCCGGUGGAACUCCGGUGGCGAAGGCGGCACGCUGGGCCCGUCCUGACGCUGAGGCGCGAAAGCCAGGGGAGCGAACGGG